UACAGAGGGUGCAAGCGUUAAUCGGAAUUACUGGGCGUAAAGCGUGCGUAGACGGUUAUGUAAGUCAGAUGUGAAAGCCCCGGGCUCAACCUGGGAAUUGCAUUUGAGACUGCAUAGCUAGGGUGCGGAAGAGGGAAGCGGAAUUUCCGGUGUAGCGGUGGAAUGCGCAGAUAUCAGGAGGAACACCAAUGGCGAAGGCAGAUCUCUGGGCCGUAACUGACGCUGAGGAGCGAAAGCAUGGGGAGCGAACAGG
rnacentral:rRNA from 1 species